GAUGAACGCUGGCGGCGUGCCUAAUACAUGCAAGUCGAGCGAACGGACGAGAAGCUUGCUUCUCUGAUGUUAGCGGCGGACGGGUGAGUAACACGUGGAUAACCUACCUAUAAGACUGGGAUAACUUCGGGAAACCGGAGCUAAUACCGGAUAAUAUUUUGAACCGCAUGGUUCAAAAGUGAAAGACGGUCUUGCUGUCACUUAUAGAUGGAUCCGCGCUGCAUUAGCUAGUUGGUAAGGUAACGGCUUACCAAGGCAACGAUGCAUAGCCGACCUGAGAGGGUGAUCGGCCACACUGGAACUGAGACACGAUCCAGACUCCUACGGGAGGCAGCAGUAGGGAAUCUUCCGCAAUGGGCGAAAGCCUGACGGAGCAACGCCGCGUGAGUGAUGAAGGUCUUCGGAUCGUAAAACUCUGUUAUUAGGGAAGAACAUAUGUGUAAGUAGCUGUGCACAUCUUGACGGUACCUAAUCAGAAAGCCACGGCUAACUACGUG
rnacentral:rRNA from 1 species